rnacentral:rRNA from 1 species
GAUGAACGCUGGCGGCGUGCCUAAUACAUGCAAGUCGAGCGAACAGAUGAGGAGCUUGCUCCUCUGACGUUAGCGGCGGACGGGUGAGUAACACGUGGAUAACCUACCUAUAAGACUGGGAUAACUUCGGGAAACCGGAGCUAAUACCGGAUAAUAUAUUGAACCGCAUGGUUCAAUAGUGAAAGACGGUUUUGCUGUCACUUAUAGAUGGAUCCGCGCCGCAUUAGCUAGUUGGUAAGGUAACGGCUUACCAAGGCAACGAUGCGUAGCCGACCUGAGAGGGUGAUCGGCCACACUGGAACUGAGACACGGUCCAGACUCCUACGGGAGGCAGCAGUAGGGAAUCUUCCGCAAUGGGCGAAAGCUUGACGGAGCAACGCCGCGUGAGUGAUGAAGGUCUUCGGAUCGUAAAACUCUGUUAUUAGGGAAGAACAAAUGUGGAAGUAACUAUGCACGUCUUGACGGUACCUAAUCAGAAAGCCACGGCUAACUACGUG